UGGGGAAUAUUGGACAAUGGGCGCAAGCCUGAUCCAGCCAUGCCGCGUGAGUGAUGAAGGCCUUAGGGUUGUAAAGCUCUUUUGUCCGGGAAGAUAAUGACUGUACCGGAAGAAUAAGCCCCGGCUAACUUCGUGCCAGCAGCCGCGGUAAUACGAAGGGGGCUAGCGUUGCCCGGAAUCACUGGGCGUAAAGGGCGCGUAGGCGGACUUUUAAGUCGGAGGUGAAAGCCCAGGGCUCAACCCUGGGAAUUGCCUUCGAUACUGGGAGUCUUGAGUUCGGAAGAGGUUGGUGGAACUGCGAGUGUAGAGGUGAAAUUCGUGAUAUUCGCAAGAACACCGGUGGCGAAGGCGGCCAACUGGUCCGAAACUGACGCUGAGGCGCGAAAGCGUGGGGAGCAAACAGGAUUAGAUACCCUGGUAGUCACGCCGUAAAUCGAUGAAUGCCAGCCGUUGGGGAGCUUGCUCUUCAGUGGCGCAGCUAACGC
rnacentral:rRNA from 1 species